UACGAAGGGGGCUAGCGUUAAUCGGAAUUACUGGGCGUAAAGCGUGCGUAGACGGUUGCGUAAGUCAGAUGUGAAAGCCCCGGGCUCAACCUGGGAAUUGCAUUUGAGACUGCGUAGCUAGGGUGCGGAAGAGGGAAGCGGAAUUUCCGGUGUAGCGGUGAAAUGCGUAGAUAUCGGAAGGAACACCAGUGGCGAAAGCGGCUUCCUGGUCCAGCACCGACGUUCAGGCACGAAAGCGUGGGGAGCAAACAGG
rnacentral:rRNA from 1 species